rnacentral:rRNA from 1 species
AGCGAACGCUGGCGGCAGGCCUAACACAUGCAAGUCGAACGAACCUUUCGGGGUUAGUGGCGGACGGGUGAGUAACACGUGGGAACGUGCCUUUAGGUUCGGAAUAACUCAGGGAAACUUGUGCUAAUACCGAAUGUGCCCUUCGGGGGAAAGAUUUAUCGCCUUUAGAGCGGCCCGCGUCUGAUUAGCUAGUUGGUUGAGGUAAUGGCUCACCAAGGCGACGAUCAGUAGCUGGUCUGAGAGGAUGAUCAGCCACAUUGGGACUGAGACACGGCCCAAACUCCUACGGGAGGCAGCAGUGGGGAAUCUUGCGCAAUGGCGAAAGCCUGACGCAGCCAUGCCGCGUGAAUGAUGAAGGUCUUAGGAUUGUAAAAUUCUUUCACCGGGGACGAUAAUGACGGUACCCGGAGAAGAAGCCCCGGCUAACUUCGUG